rnacentral:rRNA from 1 species
GCGGAUCUCGAAAGCCUGUCCCAGUUCGGACUGGAGUCUGCAACCCGACUCCACGAAGUUGGAUUCGCUAGUAAUCGCGCAUCAGCCAUGGCGCGGUGAAUACGUUCCCGGGCCUUGUACACACCGCCCGUCAAGCCAUGGGAGCCGGGGGCGCCUGAAGUCCGGGACCGCGAGGACCGGCCUAGGGCGAAACUGGUAACUGGGGCUAAGUCGUAACAAGGUAAC